GUAGUAUAGAUGCAAAAUUAAUCAUUACAUAAUAAUUAUAAAUACUAUAUAUACUAUAAGUUAUGUUAUUAGAAUUGUUUUAGGUUAUAUUCUAUUAUAAUCCGUUAUAAAAUAGACGUAAAACAUAUUUGAACAGUACAUGCAAAUGUAUAUAUUUGUAUAGAUAAGUAUCCAUUGGUGUUAUAAUAUUAUUAUUAAGUAGAGGACUUGCACAUAUUGCCUUCGACUUUUAACCUGCUAGUCAGUAAUAUUAGGAUAUAGAAUUCAACAAUAUUUUCGAGGACUAAUCGAAUUUUUGUUGCUAUUCGUGUAAAAGGAUUUUAGAACGAACUUAAAUUUAUACAGCAGCUAACUUUGUAAAUCUUGUACUAAAAAAUUGCUAUCAGCUUCUAAAGACAAGCUAAAAAAACUCAGGAUACGCUGGCAUUAUAUAGAGAGAUUCGAAAUGCGAGCUGUUCACAGAUUCGGAACAGGAGUAAUGGUAUAUAAAGAACAUCUAAAGGAUAUCUCUCGAAGAUGUAUCACUAUUAAGACAUAUUUAGGCUCUUUAAAGCUUUUUAAAGCUUGUUACUAUGUAGGACACUGCUUCAAACCAAAAAUCUCAAGAUUAUAAUACAGUACAUAAUUACAUAUAUCUAUUAUAUCCACAUGAAAUCAUACAAAUAAUAGACUUAAUAUUAUAUUAAUAUCUUAUAGAUCCCUCCCCCUAUUUAAGCAUCAAUAGUAUCCUACUAUCUCUCUGGUGUUGAAAAAAAGGUUUUGUAAUUUCUGAUUGUAUUUUGUCCCAAGAUUUUUAUGAACUAAAUGUUUUAAGUUUCAAAAUAAUUGUAACAGUAUAUUUCUUAGAACUGUUAAAUUUGCUUUUUUAUGCUCCACAAGAAUAAACUUUUUUAAAAGUA